GACGAACGCUGGCGGCGUGCUUAACACAUGCAAGUCGAACGGAAAGGCCCUGCUUUUGUGGGGUGCUCGAGUGGCGAACGGGUGAGUAACACGUGAGUAACCUGCCCUUGACUUUGGGAUAACUUCAGGAAACUGGGGCUAAUACCGGAUAGGAGCUCCUGCUGCAUGGUGGGGGUUGGAAAGUUUCGGCGGUUGGGGAUGGACUCGCGGCUUAUCAGCUUGUUGGUGGGGUAGUGGCUUACCAAGGCUUUGACGGGUAGCCGGCCUGAGAGGGUGACCGGCCACAUUGGGACUGAGAUACGGCCCAGACUCCUACGGGAGGCAGCAGUGGGGAAUAUUGCACAAUGGGCGGGAGCCUGAUGCAGCAACGCCGCGUGCGGGAAGACGGCCUUCGGGUUGUAAACCGCUUUCGCCUGUGACGGAGCGUGAGUGACGGUAAUGGGUGAAGAAGCACCGGCUAACUACGUG
rnacentral:rRNA from 1 species